rnacentral:lncRNA from 1 species
AUAUUCACAGACUUCAACGCCAGCCAAAGUGGUUCACCAAGAGAAAAAAUUCUAGAAUGCACUGGAUAUAUUGAUGACGUGGCGUCACAAACCAAUCAAAUAUCUCUUUUUAGAGAUAUAUAUCCCAUCGUGAUUAUAAAAAAAUAUUUUUAUUAUACUUUUAUUUGAAGAGAAAAAAUAUAAUUAUUUUAUUAUUAAUGACGUGCUGCAAGCGUGACAGUAUCGAAUUUCUCUCCAGCAGGAGGGAAG